rnacentral:rRNA from 1 species
CCUACGGGAGGCAGCAGUGAGGAAUAUUGGUCAAUGGGCGGGAGCCUGAACCAGCCAAGUCGCGUGAGGGACGACGGUCCUAUGGAUUGUAAACCUCUUUUGUCGGGGAACAAAGGCGCCAACGGGUGUGCGGAUGAGUGUACCCGAAGAAAAAGCAUCGGCUAACUCCGCGCCAGCAGCCGCGGUAAUACGGAGGAUGCAAGCGUUAUCCGGAUUUAGUGGGUGUAAAGGGUGCGUAGGCGGUUCGACAAGUUAGAGGUGAAAUCCCGGGGCUUAACUCCGGCACUGCCUCUGAUACUGUGGGGCUGGAGUGAAGAAGAGGUAAGCGGAAUGUCUGGUGUAGCGGUGAAAUGCGUAGAGAUAAGGCAGAACACCAGUGGCGAAGGCGGCUUACCAGACUGCAACUGACGUUGAGGCACGAAAGCGUGGGGAGCAAACAGGAUUAGAUACCCCAGUAGUC